AAACUUUAUAAAAAUACUCAACUCUCUCUCUCUCUCUCUCUCUCUCUCUCUCUCUAGAGACACACUCCUAAUUCCUAUUAGUGGUGCCCUCUCUAUUUUAAAAAAUUGAAACUAUAUUCUAUGCCUUUAAAAAGAAUGGUCUUUGAUUUUAUCGAGUUUACUUAAUAUAAAAUUAAAAAAAAGAAACGAUCGAUCACCUUUAGACUGUGAUUAAUCAUAGCAUCUAUUUUUAUUCUACUAACGAAAAAUGACCCAAUAUAUUGAAUGAGGCUUGUCUGCUAAUUACUAUUAUAAUUAGCAGUAAUGUUAAAUAUUUUGUUUCUCGUCAAUUUCGGUGAUUUAUGGGUGAAUGGUAAAUUUUUAGGCCAUAUUGAAAAAGGAAUACGCUAAGAAUAGUAUACAUUGAACUGGCCUAUAAAUUGCUCAAGUACUGUAUUCAGAAUUUCGUUUCUUUAAAUGAAUUUUUAAAAACAAUGUUAUUGACCUUUCUUCUUUGAAAAUGCGCUUUUCAUUUCAUAAUAGGAUUGCAAAAGUAAAAGUGCAGGUAUAACAACCCAUAUCCCAUUAUAGAAUACCAUAUAAACCCAGAGAUAGAGCCAGUUAUUUGUUGCUAAAUUGGGAGAUCCUAACAAUAUAUCUGGUACAAAAGUCAUCCAACCACCAUAAAUUUCUCCAACGCAUAGAACGACUUGUAAGAAAUGCCUGUAAUGCUUAUUUUUAACUAUUGCGUAGACUAAUACUAAGCACAUUGGUCCUUCUACGAAAACAGUUAUAAUCUCUAAUGAAACUAUACAAGGGUCUAAGAUUAGCCAUCUAGCAUCAGCUUUGCCAUAUUCUUUCCAUACUAGUGAAGUCCAAUGAGUAGAUUUUUCAACAGUUGUUGUAAGUGAUAAAAUAACGAAUGAUAACUCUAAACUUAAGUGUAUCAUUGCGUCCCAGAUUAACCAAAAAAUUACAAAUUUGUCAGUUUUCCUUACUGUUUUACUUAUUUUAUUGGUAAUAAACCAUGCUCCAAUUGCCAUGGCAGCCGUAGCAAUCAUGGAUACUAUGGAAACUUGGUUGAUUAUCGGUUCCGUUUGAUCGUCCAUUCCUUUUCUUGCAAUUCUCUUCUAUUAACUCUGAAAACAGAAGAAAUUUUCUAACCAAAGCUCAUAAAUUUAGACACUCAGGUGAUUUUCUUUCUAUUUUCUGUAUUUAUAGACAACUGAUAUCAUAUCAGAAUAAUUCAUGUCUAUUUUUCAGAACAGUUAAGAUAAGGAUCAGAUUACAGAAAUUUCUUUAUCGUACGAUUGAAAUAUAACGCGACCUUAAAAAUUAUAAUAUUAAGCGAUAAUAUAGCAAAUUGAAGAACAUUUAUGUAGUUUCCUUCUACAUUAUUGAUAUAGUAGUUCUUUUCUCUGAGAAGACAGCAAGAAACAUGACUGCAAAAAAAUUGAAAAUUAUAAAUUUAUCCAUCUUCUUGGCUUUCUUCUAUGGAUAUGGAGAUUGUAGAAAGAUCUUUCAAGGCUAUCAGAAUUAUACAACGUAUAAAACUGGAACUUUGAAUGUUAUCCUUACUGUUCCUCAUGGUGGUUCUAUGAAACCUUCGUCAAUUAAGGAUAGAACUAUUGCCUGCGCAAAUUCCGAAGGACAAUGCACAUGGAAGACUGAUUGCCAUCAACCGACUAGCAACUGCACUCCUCUUGUUGAAUCAGACUAUAACGUUCAGUUACUAGCUGAUACUAUUUCCGAGAAACUGAAAGACAUAACCGGAAAAUAUCCCUAUAUUAUUCAAACUGAAUUGAAGAGAAACAAGUUAGAUCCGAAUAGAGAUAAACCGGAAGCUACACUUUUCGAUCCAGAAGCUAUUAAAGCUUGGAAUGAUUUUCAAAACUAUAUUAAAGAGGCCAAAAACGAAAUUAAGAAAGGCCUUCUUUUAGAUAUUCACGGUCAGAGUCAUAUAGAAAAGUGGAUCGAAUUAUCAUAUUUUGCCAAAAUUUCUGAAAUAAAUUCAGAUCAAUUGCAAUCUGAUAAGUCAUCGAUUUAUACCAUGUCUAAAAGAUUUCCGGAAACCAAAUUUAAUGAAUUGAUUUACGGCAAUGAAAGUUAUGGUGGUUUGUUGGAAUCUAAAGGCUAUAAAGUUGUACCAAGUCCUUCUUAUAAGAAGCCUGGUUCAGGCAAUUAUUUUCCUGCUUAUUAUAUAACAAUGGAACACGGUUCGAUGAAAGGUGGAAAUAUCGAUGCCAUACAAGUGGAAACACCCUUCGCUUAUAGAAGGAAUCUCACCUAUAUUUCUAGAUAUGCGGAGGACGUUGCCAGUGUUACCGUUGAAUUUUUAAAGAAAUAUUAUGGUUCUACAUCUAGUGGAGCGGAAAGAGUUCUAAUUUCUAUUCCCAGUAUGAUUCUUUUUAUAUCAAGUUUUAUAAUGCAGCUCAUAGAUUAGAUAUAUCCUCUGAGAGAGGGAUUUAUCGGGUUUAAAGAAAAUGAGUAGUGUGUCGGGGAGGAGGAAUAUCAUACAAACAAAAUAAUAAUAGCUAUACUCUAUUUGGAUUUUAUCUAGAAUGGGAGAUGGAGGAGGAGAGAGUUAGGAGGAGAUAGAGAUUAAAAGAAAGUAGCAAAUAUUUUAGACUUAAUACACAGUAGCAAUUGGAAUAAAAAAUUUGUUUUAUUUAAGUUAAUGUGUAGGAGGAAGCCUAAAAUAUUAAUGAAAUACAACUCUCUUUUUCCAUUUCUUCUUACUUUUGCUCAGAUUCAUUUUUGACAUUUUUUAGUUUUAAAUAAUUUCCUAUUUUUCUCUUUUAAAUUAAAAAUAGAAAAGUAUUAUUUAAAUAAGAAAUUAAUUACUUUUUCAAUUGAUUUUAAUACGAAUGUAAAUGAUAGAUAGGAAUGCAAUUUGAUAAAAAAAACAAAUUUCUUCAACUAGGUGGGAGUAGUGUUUCGGUUCAAAGAAAAUGUAAUUGAAUAUAGUUUAAAAGAACAUGGACAAAACUAUCUUAAUUUCAGACGCAAAUUAAAUUUACUAUAUUUAUUCAAGUAGUCUUUUUAUUAUAUUAAAUAAGGAGGCUUUCUUCUUUGAAAAGCCAUUCAUAGAGUUCUUAUAUAAUACUUGUAUAUUAUAUUGUAUUUACCAUAUAAUUAUAUAGAUUAGUGAUAAUAAAACUAUAGUUUAUAAAUCAAUUAUUGUAUUCUUGCAUUAUUCAUUUAUUGGAGAGAUUCAAAUAGAAAUAAGCCACCUUUUUCAGCCAUAGCACCGUCUUUUUUGCAAUAGCAAGUUAUGUACAGUUUUGUUCCUAUGUGAGCAGCCAUAAUGGGAUACUUUGCAUUUUUAUACUCAAUUGUCUCUGGAAGCCAUAUUUGUAAAGUACCGCAAUGAUUACCAUCUUUAUCGUAAAUAACUACUUGAUUUUUUUCGGCAUAGGUCGUUAAGAAUUGAUUAUUUGAGAAACAAGUAAUCGAAUCAUUACCUUUCAGUGAUGGAAAACACUUGAGAAUUUCGCCGUCUUUACCAUUUAACAAUUUUAUAAUUCCGUCUUUAGAAUCAAUAAAGACUAUAGUUCCAUUAAAUAAACAAGCUACUUUAGACGCAGUAAAGGUUUUAUUGGUCCAAAUCAAUUUCCCCCGGAUAUCGUAUAAUUGGAUACAACUAUCAGUUCCAACAAUUAAAUAACCAUUGUAAAAUUUCAUAUCACUAAUUAAUAUAGGUUUUUCAACAUUUAUAAAUUCAGACCAUUCUUUUCCUUCAUCGAGGUCGUUUGUUUUCAUUAUUCGAUUAUUCGUCAAGUCACCAACCAUUAAAUUUAGACAGCCCGAUUUACAAACGGUAAUAGACGAAAGUUUAUCAUUUGGUUUUGAUGUAUAAAUUGUUCUAUUAAAAUCUCCAUUUUGAUAAUAAACUUUCACUCUGCACAUGUUUCUAGCCUCACUCAUUAAUAAAUAUAUAUGAGUUGAAAAGCUGCAAAUAUCUUGAAUAACACCAAUCUUUGGUGUUGAAAGAAAUUUAUCAUUUCUACUAUAUGCAUAUAUAUCAUUA
rnacentral:misc_RNA from 1 species